AAAUUUAAAAAACACGUUCAAAGUGUAUUUCAAGUCUUAAAACGAACAAUCUCUCCUUUUAUUUCCAAAAUUUAAAAAACACGUUCAAAGUGUAUUUUAAGUCUUAAAACGAACAAUCUCUCCUUUUAUUUCCAAAAUUUAAAAAACACGUUCAAAGUGUAUUUCAAGUCUUAAAAUGAACAAUCUCUCCUUUUAUUUCCAAAAUUUAAAAAACACGUUCAAAGUGUAUUUUAAGUCUUAAGACAAACACUCUCCCCCUAAAAAGAAGUGUUUCUUGAUGUUUUUAUACGCACUACUUUUGUAGCGUGUGGAAAAUCGCAGUGUGAUUUGGUUCACGGGAUUUGAACUAAAUGACACUACAAAAUGACGUCCACGUUCUUCAAGAACCUGUACCUCGGGACUAAAUGCUCCGACGACGAACUCGAAGUUGUACCAAACCCACGAUUCGAGCUCCAUUACCAUGUCAUGUACAAGACCAUCCAGGCUGGAAGCUUACUGGGCUUGUGCGUUUUCGGACCCCUAGUCGGGCUUGUCCGAGGGCGGGGCAACCUUGCUAUGAUCAAGAGUUCCGCCAUGAAAGGAGGAAGGAUCGGGGCUGCUCUCGGUAUACCUUUGGGACCAUUCGCCACGGAGAUGACUCUGAAAGGGGACAAGCGAUAUUCCAAAGAGGGACAACAGGAACGGCUCUACGACCGCAGCUACCGGAUUCGCUACAACACAUCCCAACUCCGUUGUGACCGCUGGGCCACUGUGGGGGCCGUGGCCGGCCUGGGCGUUGGGUACUACAUGGGAGGUGCUCUCCUGAAUGGCAGCAUUAUUGGCUUGACUGCGGGCACCAUUACUGCUGCUGUUUACAGUGCUAAGCUUGCCAAUGAUGAGAUCAAAAAAGCACCGAAAAGGAUGUUGAACUUUAAGGGAGCAACUAAGGAGGAAUAACGCAAUAACACAGAGACCAUCUUGGAGAUGGACUAUGACUUUCUUAACUGUGGUGCGAGGGGACUGUAGGGAUUUCUAUAUACAUGUCUACCCAUCGAUUUGCUUUCGUAGGGCUGCUAUUCAAUUUGAAUGUUGGGUCUUUAAUUCGUGAUGUAAGCAGUGUAGAAAAAUUGUUUUGAACUUUGGACUUGUGCUGCAUUUGGUGGACAUGAGGACAUAAUGAAAGAGCCUUGAUCGGAUGUACAUGUACGUACAAAGGGUGUCUGUAACCUAACCGAGAAAGUUAUGUACCUCCAUUGAGUCUACCUCAGUGACUGUGUGAAAUUCUAUCGUCCCUUAACUUGACUGGCAUGUAAGUCAUAGUUCGGCUCAUUGACCUCUAAGAUGGGAAUUUACGUACCGGUUUGCCAUAAACGUACUGCAUGUAGACAUCAAAUAAAAUAUUGUUAAGACAUGUCUAGACAUGAACUAAAAGUAGACAAAUAAAGAAGUUUUUUGCCAAAA